rnacentral:rRNA from 1 species
CUCAGUAACCCUUAGUCAACCUACCCUAGAGACAUGGACAACCCCGGGAAACUGGGAUUAAUCCGUGAUAGGUCACCUCAUCUGGAAGGAGAGAUGGCUUAAAGGGGCGUGCGGGCUUCUUCUGCACAUUCGCUCUAGGAUGGGACUGCGUCCGAUCAGGCUGUUGGCGGGGUAAUGGCCCACCAAACCUGUAACCGGUACGGGCCUUGAGAGAGGUGGCCCGGAGAUGGACACUGAGAGAAGGGUCCAGGUCCUACGGGGCGCAGCAGGCGCGAAACCUUCGCAAUGCGCGAAAGCGUGACGAGGUUAAUCCGAGUGGUCCCCGCUGAGGGGAUCUUUUGUUUGCUGUAAAUAGGCAGGCGAAUAAGGGGAGGGCAAGCCUGGUGUCAGCCGCCGCGGUAAUACCAGCUCCUCGAGUGGUCGGGGCGAUUAUUGGGCCUAAAGCAUCCGUAGCCGGUUCCGUAGGUCCUCUGUUAAAUCCACCCGCUCAACGGGUGACCUGCAGAGGAUACCGCGGGACUAGGAGGCGGGAGAGGCGGACGGUACUCCGCGUGUAGGGGUAAAAUCCUUUGAUCCGCGGAAGA